rnacentral:tRNA from 1 species
UCGGGCCGCUGGUUGGCCGCGACGGUGGCGGUCACGCCGCCGCGGCUGUGCGAGACGAGGACGACGGGGCCGUUCCGCUUGGCCCGCUCCAGU